rnacentral:lncRNA from 1 species
GCCAUCUUCCUCUGUGUUCGCUAUGGCGUCUUGUACUUCUACCCAACGUUGCCCCUCAGCCCCCCAGCCCCCGAGCUCACUGCCCUCGGCCCGCAUCUCCGGAUGCUUCCUCCGGGACUGCGGGAUACGGAGCCUGCCGCCUAGGAACCCGAUUUCUCCGUCUCGUCCAUGGAAGCACGGGUCAUAGUGGCCGCAUGCGCAGUGCUAACUCAGCGGCCCGCGCCUUUUGACCGCUGUUGUGGUGGAGAUUGUGGUGAGGAAGGAGACCAGAAGAUGACGACGACAAUGACACAGCAGAAGGGCCGGGUUACACUUGGGCUUCUUUCUUUGAAGUCUGAGAAGACAGUCUGUCAGGCCGAGCUCAUUACACUAAGGUAAGACAGCCUGACCCUCCGGUCUCCCUUUCCCAUCAGAUCUUGACACUGGUCUUGGUGGUCGUAAAGGAGGGAGAGCACCCUGAAGCUGGCCUCACAGCGAUGCAGUCUGCUGUAGAGCGGCAGGCCAGAUUCGGACAUGCCUGGGCUUUGUAAAAUGGGUAACUUCCCCCUGGGCAGGUAUUGCUACUGAAUGCUGGCUUACUUUCAUGUUUUGUUUUGUUUUUAGGGUCCAUGUAACCAGUGAAGCGGCCAUUAUACAUGAUUUGGUCUACAGUUGUUGGGUAAGCUUAAGGAUUAAGAACCCUUUUCCUAAGUAGUAUAGCAGAAAUUCAGGUUUGCAUAGUGACUAGCCAUCACCUCCACAAUUCAUGCCUGAACUGUGUGCUUGAUUAGUUAGCUGUUAAUAUCUGGGGCAAAGGUGCUUGCCAAGUGGCUUGGUUAGUAUUUGCCCUUUGAAGACCAUUGCAUGAGUACAAUCAAACACUGGUCCAUGAUGAAACCCAUUAUCAGUGGACAUCUGUGGAUGAGAAAUGCGGAUAUGGGACUGAGAC